UGAUUUUUAUUGCAUUAUGGUAUUCUGAUAUUUUUUUUAAAUUGUUUUUACGUAAUCGAGAGCUUUUAAUUUCUGAUUGGUCUCUAAGAAAACGAAGGAAAAUGAAUCUACAACAAAUUUUGUUUUGGAAUUUUCACGUUUCAAGUUAGUUUUGCAUUUCUGCUCGCACGAGACCCAAACUUUUUAACAACUCUGUAGAACUCUUGUUUUUAGUGAUUGCGAACCUUAAGGAUUUUCAGCUUUUACAUUUUCUUUUUCGUUUCUCACACUUUCUCGGCAAACCAACCGGGUUUAGAUGUCUCCCUUCCCUUAACUUUUUAAAAUUUAACUGAAUCUUCACUUUUUCCCCUUUUCCUAUCUCUAUCUUGUGAUUUGAAGUACUGCUGGAGAAAUUUAGAAUGGAGAUUUCCCGCCGACGAACACUUGAGCCUAAAACGAUAGAUGCAGUUAAUGUGACGUCGGAUUUCCCGCGUAAAACGCUACAUCAGUUGAAAGAACGAUAGUUGCAGUUAAGGAGACAUUGAAUUUCACACCAAAGAAGCUGGCUAGGCGGCUAGUUUUCACCGAGUUUGGCUUGUCGCCCUUGGUCAACACAACGCAGCCGCCACUGCCGGAGGACUCACACUCGCCGGCAGAUCAACAUUUGCCUCCCCGUUCUUCAUUUUAUGCAAUGAAGGCAACGUCUCCAAGAUUGCCGCCACCGGCACGCACCAAAACAAGCAAGCGUACUCCAAACGGUCGUAGACAAUGCCAUUGCAAGCAAUCAAAGUGCUUAAAGCUGUUAGUGCAGAACUAAAUGUAUUUGAAGCCUAGUAGGGUUCUUUGUAACUGUCCAGAAGCCGUUUCUUCCAAAAAAAAGAAAAAAAAAAGUGUUUUUUUUCCAAUGCAUACAUCUAUCUGAGUGGGAAUGGAAUUCUGAGUUAUUGGGGCAAAUUGUAUUUUCUGGACCUCAUUAGUUAGAAAAUUCUUAUGUACAAAUGUGCAGGUACUGUGAAUGCUUGCGUCUGGAUCAUACUGUGACGGAUGCAGCUAUGCUGAUUGUCAUAAUAAUAUUAAGAAUUAGGCUCUACGAAGAUCAGCUGCUAAAAGUAUUCUGUGGCGUAAUCCAAAUGCUUUCAGGCUAAAGACUGCUAGUAGUCCAUCCAGUACUCAAGCUGAUAAGGAUGAAGCAAAGAAUGUGCCAUUAAUGGGAAAGCACAACAAGGGAUGCCACUGCAAAAGAACCGGUUGCCUCAUGAAGUACUGUGAGUGCUUUCAAGCAAACAUCAUAUGCUCUAAAAGUUGCAAAUGUGUUGACUGCAAGAAAUUGCAAGUAUGUGAGCAGCGGAUGCUUCAUUCUUGGGGAGGCUAUGGUAAUAGUAAAGCCUUUGUUGAGCUGACAAAUGCUGCUAUUUUUGCUGCUAUUGGAUGCUUAGGGUAUAGCUUCUCUCAAGAUUCCAGGAGGAGAAAAUUUCUGAACCCUUGAUUCAGAAAAGAAAUAUAAAGAAGCUCAGAAGCUUACACAAUAUCAACAGUUAUAUCCUGUCAGAUUUCCUGGAUCAUUUCCUACCUUUCCAGUUGAUCAUUCUCACUCCCUUGUUAGUUCUGCAGCUUUUCACUCUUCAAAAUUUGCAUACAGAUCAUUGUUGGAGAUGUCAUUCAUCCUCUGGACAUGAGAGAGCUGUGCUCUUUUUUGGUGGUAGGAUCAGAAGCUGCCACAAUUCUUGCUGGUAUUGGCACUUCUCCAGAAGAUAAGAAAUUCUGACAUAAUGCAUUAAAAUUUUGCUGUCUGGUUAAGAACUAAAAAGACGCAUGAAUAUGGUCAUAGGAUUGCUCUUCUACCCUCAAGCCCCCUCUUCCAUCUUUUUGAAAUCUGUGUUCAGUUCGAUAAUUAACCAAUUGACUGUUUGCUUGCUCAAUUAAUUUGAUAAAAAUUAGAAGUUUGGCUUAUUUUAAACAGAAAAGUACUGGGUAUGUGUUUUUGUAUAAAUUACCUUUUUGAUUAUUCUCUAAUUGCCCUCAAGAAUUUGUCUAAAUGAAUGAAGGGUAUAGCUGAAACUGCAAAAGAUUUUUAUUGUGUGUGUGUGUGUGAUUUUUUUUUUUUAUCCGUUGCUUUCUUUUUCCCUAGUUCCGAUUUUCUGUUAGUUGACAAUGAUAUAGUUUUCACCACAAAUAUUGUGCAUUUAUAUAAACUUAUUUCCAUGUUAGAUUACAUGAUCAGAAAAAUUUUUAUGAUGUAUUGUAGUGCAAAUGUUGUAUGUGCUAUGCACAUAAUGGGAUUGUACAUAUUUGAAUUCUGCAUUAUUUAUUCUGAGACCAAAAAAAAAAAGCUACAGCAGAAAUGCAGGAAGCAAAAGAAAAACAGAUUGCUAGUCAUCUUCCAGCCCAGGGUAGGAAAAACCAGGAGAAAGAACCUGUUUUUCGGAAAGUGGUGCCUGAUAACAAUUGGAGUGGGAACCAAACUGAUAAUCUCAACAUAGAAGUUUCCAAAUCUGAUGGAAAUAAAGCAGGAAGGCAUUUUUUACCUCAGAGAGAUGAGCCGAUGUGAUAUGUGGAAGAAAAAUCAUUCAUGGGAGCUGCUUCUCCAGAACAAUAUCUGAAUCGUGGCUUCACUGGGGAUCUUUGUGUAGUGCAGAAAGGCUUGCUUUGACAUGUUUACUUGAUUGUCUUGCAAAGUUUAUCACUUUUGGAACUGUAAAAGAAAAUAAUUGCUUUUCAUCAGCUGGAUUUGUGACAGACAGUUAGUUUGAACUUUGCUGCAGCUGCGUUAUCAAAGCCAGAACUGAAAUCCGACUGAAAAGGCAGUAGCAAUUUUAGCCAAAAACACAUGGUAGAGUAAAAUGUUGGGAAGUUCAUCUCAUCUCUCUAUGUCCUGUUCUAUCAUUAGAAUUCAACCCAUAUUGCAGUCUUAAGGAAAAAGGCUGACGGAACAGGUAUGAGAUGAUGUACACUUGUCCUGCGCUUCAAUAUGUAUAUAAGAAGCCAUUGGGCUAAUAGCCCAAUGGUCGAGAGAGGUUAGUAUUUCAAAUCAUGUGUGGCUGGAAGGCGAAGAAAUAUCUAAUAUGUCAAAGGUAGAAGAUAAAUCCAAUUGGUUGCAUCAUCGUCAUCAUAAUGGUGACUUAUGGAAUAAAAUGUUCUAUUUCAUAGA